rnacentral:rRNA from 1 species
UACGUAGGGUGCGAGCGUUAAUCGGAAUUCCUGGGCGUAAAGCGUGCGCAGGCGGUUUUGUAAGCCAGGUGUGAAAUCCCCGGGCUUAACCUGGGAAUGGCAUUUGGGACUGCAAGGCUGGAGUGCGGCAGAGGAGACUGGAAUUCCUGGUGUAGCAGUGAAAUGCGUAGAUAUCAGGAGGAACACCGAUGGCGAAGGCAGGUCUCUGGGCUGACACUGACGCUCAUGCACGAAAGCGUGGGGAGCAAACAGG